GCAUCCUUCACACACCGCCUCGCAGACUCCACACACACUUGCACAUGCACCCACCCCAGCGAUACAGGCGCACGCCGCGCUGCCGCUGAGACUAACCAAAAGCAAAAACAACAAAGGAGAGGACUGCCAAAGCCGACUGACUUCCACCUGCACACCUCACUCAGACGAUAAAGAGAUGAUGGCAGGGAGAACAUGCAAAGUCCACACAGAGAGGACCUUGUUAGACGGGGAUUGGAUCCAGGAACCUCCUCGCUGUGAGGCAACAGCGCAAACCGCUGCGGCACCAUGCAGCCCCUGUCCUAUCAUUAAAAAAAAAAAAAAAAAAACUACU